CAAAUACUCCCUCCGUCCAACAAAAGAUGUCUCAACUUUUACUAAAUUUGAAUGCAUCUAUACAUUAAGUUAUGUCUAGAUGCAUCCAAAUUUUGACAAACUUGAGACAUCCUUUAUUGGACGGAGGGAGUAUGCG
rnacentral:pre_miRNA from 1 species